rnacentral:rRNA from 1 species
GUUGCCGGUCAUAGGGUGGGGGGAAACACCCGGUCUCAUUCCGAACCCGGAAGUUAAGCCCCUGCCCGCCUGGUGAGUAGUGGGGUGGGAGACCACCCGUGAAAACCAGGUACUGGCAACC